AUUGAACGCUGGCGGCAUGCCUAACACAUGCAAGUCGAACGCGAAAGGGCUUCGGCCCGAGUAGAGUGGCGGACGGGUGAGUAACGCGUAGGAAUCUGCCCAGUAGUGGGGGAUAACCCGGGGAAACUCGGGCUAAUACCGCAUACGCCCCAUGGGGGAAAGCGGGGGACCGUAAGGCCUCGCGCUAUUGGAUGAGCCUGCGCCGGAUUAGCUAGUUGGUAGGGUAAAGGCCUACCAAGGCGACGAUCCGUAGCUGGUCUGAGAGGACGACCAGCCACACUGGGACUGAGACACGGCCCAGACACCUACGGGUGGCUG
rnacentral:rRNA from 1 species